GACGAACGCUGGCGGCGUGCUUAACACAUGCAAGUCGAACGGAAAGGCCUGCUUGCAGGGUACUCGAGUGGCGAACGGGUGAGUAACACGUGGGUGAUCUGCCCUGCACUUCGGGAUAAGCCUGGGAAACUGGGUCUAAUACCGGAUAGGAGCCAUUUUUAGUGUGAUGGUUGGAAAGUUUUUUCGGUGUAGGAUGAGCUCGCGGCCUAUCAGCUUGUUGGUGGGGUAAUGGCCUACCAAGGCGGCGACGGGUAGCCGGCCUGAGAGGGUGGACGGCCACAUUGGGACUGAGAUACGGCCCAGACUCCUACGGGAGGCAGCAGUGGGGAAUAUUGCACAAUGGGCGCAAGCCUGAUGCAGCGACGCCGCGUGGGGGAUGACGGCCUUCGGGUUGUAAACUCCUUUCGCUAGGGACGAAGCUUUUUGUGACGGUACCUAGAGAAGAAGCACCGGCUAACUACGUG
rnacentral:rRNA from 1 species